GACGAACGCUGGCGGCGUGCUUAACACAUGCAAGUCGAACGGAAAGGCCCUGCUUGCCGGGUGCUCGAGUGGCGAACGGGUGAGUAACACGUGGGUGAUCUGCCCCUUACUUUGGGGUAAGCCUGGGAAACUGGGUCUAAUACUGGAUAGGACCAUGCUGUAGGCGGUGUGGUGGAAAGAUUAGUUUCGGUAAGGGAUGAGCUCGCGGCCUAUCAGCUUGUUGGUGGGGUAAUGGCCUACCAAGGCGUCGACGGGUAGCCGGCCUGAGAGGGUGGACGGCCACAUUGGGACUGAGAUACGGCCCAGACUCCUACGGGAGGCAGCAGUGGGGAAUAUUGCACAAUGGGCGCAAGCCUGAUGCAGCGACGCCGCGUGGGGGAUGACGGCCUUCGGGUUGUAAACUCCUUUCAGCCAUGACGAAGCCCUUGUGGUGACGGUAGUGGUAGAAGAAGCACCGGCUAACUACGUG
rnacentral:rRNA from 1 species